ensembl:lncRNA
CCAUCCUGCAUCCUGUUUCCACAGAGACGCAGGGGGAGAGCCCUAGGAGGCUCAGUUCCUGAAUGACUAAAAGGCAGCCACGUGGCAGCCAUGGGGCUCGUGGCCCCAGGAGGGGAAGAGACAGGGGCAGUCAGAGGCAGGAAAAGGAAGUCAGAAAAACCGCUACAAUCACAGCCUCAGCCUGCUAGAGCCGGGAGGGGACUCCAAGGUGCCUGUGGCCACCCAGCAUGUCAGCCUCGCCCUCCAGGAGAGGGCGCCUGGUGUAGCUCAGAGCGGGCUGGAAAGGCCAUAUGAUAAGGACUGCCUUCACGCUGGAUCUCUUUCCUCUGCUGCGAGCAUCUAGAGGGAUCCUGACAGCUUCUCUUCUUAUCGUGGUGCCUGGCACAUAGUAGGUGCUCCUUAAAUAUCUGUUGAACACAGUGAACAUGGUACUGGUGACUGGCCCCAGUGAGAAGCAUCUGCCAGGGCAGUGGGGGUGGGGUGGGGGGCUGGCAGGUUUGUUCGUCAUGGAGAGAAGGGAAUAAUGGGACAAAGGCUUGGCAAGAGGCACACUCAGAGAGACUGGCUCAGAGUUCCUGCUCUGGCACAACGGGAUCAGCAGCGUCUCUGGCACAGGUUCGAUCUCCAGCCCUGCACAGUGGGUUAAGGAUCUGGCAUUGCCACAGCUGCAGCUUGGACUCCAUAUUCCAUGGGGCAGUCAAAAGAGAGACUGGGCAGGCCAUCCUGCCUGGGCUCAGGGAGAGCCCCAGCCAUGUGACCUGGGCAUUUGCAGUCCCUCCUGCCCACCUGAGCACUUCCAACUGCCAGCAUCUGCAUCUUUGCCAGAGCCAAGGGAAAUAGCACCUGCCGUCCCCCAGCAAAGACUGAGGGGAGCUAAUGAAGAAACACCCGAUUCCCUCACCCUGUCCCAUGGCUGGGGAGCCCUAAAGCAUGUUCUCCAUGCCUUGGUGCCCCAGCAGUCACCUGAUCCCUAACACACAUCUUACUGGCUCUAACCCUCCAUGUCUCACUCAGGCUACUGCACUACGAUGCCUCCUGGGGUCACCUCCCACAUAAUACCUGCAAGCACAUCCUUGUCUCAGCCCAUAGGGCCUGAGGAGGCAGUUCUGACCUGGAAUUGUGCAGCUAACUCUACAGCUUAGAAAGAAAGGCCAAUAAAAGGGCCAGAGUAAAAUGAGGGCUGGGAAUCCUAUGGAGAAGCUGAGGGGCAGUCUCCUGGCGGAGACUGGUGGGGUUGGACGCAGUGGGCAGGCAUAUACCUAGAACUUUCCUAUCUGUGGGAGGUAAGACGGCAGAAGCAUGGUGGACUAAAUGAAAAGGAAAAACAAGGAUGGGCUGGGUUGCAAGUUAUGUGAUUAAGAAGCCUCUGCAGCAGGGCAGUGCCGGCCACAUUGGGUUACUGGUAACAAAUGCCAUUAGGACUAGAAGCCCGGCAUUGCCUCCCAUCCCUGGGCUGCUCCUAGGAUAGAACUAUGGAACUCCAACAUCCCAGAACCUCAGCAUGCCCAUCCAUUCAUUCAAUAGCAGGGCAGUUAUAUCCACACUUGGAAUGAGCCAUGAAGGACACGCAUUUGAUCCCACGCUAAGAGCAUGUGUUUUGAAGCAGGUGGAGCUGGAUCCCAGAUCUGCCACUUACUGACUUCAUGUCCUUCAGCAACUUAUUCAACUUCACAGGCUCCCGGUAUCCUCAUGUGCAAAAUGAUAAUGUCCAUUCUGAAGAGUUUCUGUUAUUGAGCAUCUAAGUAUUUGGUGGAUGGAUGGAUGGAUGGAUGGAUAUGAGGGAUGGAUGCAUGGAGGGACAUAAUGCAUGAAGUGAUGGAUGGAUGGACAUAAGGGAUAGAUGGAUGGAUGUUUGCAAGGAGACAGAAGAGACAGUAGUUUUCUGCAGUCUGGUUCCCAUUUGCUUCAAUAUCCUUUUAGGCUAAAUUUAAUAACAAGAAAAUGAAGGCCCAUCACUCUCUAAUGUAUCUGUUAGAGGAAUUCGUAUCUCCAUUUAUCAGGUUGACAAAUGCAAAGUAAGAUCUCCCUAAUGAGCUUUAGCCACAUGACCAGGGGGAGGGGCGCCAUUCCCUGAAGAGGGUGGCAGGCCACAUCAGAACAGAAGGUAUCCUCCUGGCUCAUCACCAUCCUACUGGCUCCCACCAUGCGGGCAUGCCACACACCUGACCCCUCUCCCUUCACCUCCAAGUCCUGUCAACCACAAUCCCAGGGAGGGUGGGUCCGGGGCCAGGGAGAGGAAGGGGAAGCCAAAUAAGAGCAGGCAGAGGGCACAGGCCAGGAGGAAGCCAAGAACAGAAUGCGGAUACAUGGGCUGGGCUGAGCAAGGACCAGAGAAGGGUCUGAAGAACAGAGACAGGGGUUACUGGCUUUGGAGAAGUGGAGAAAGGAAACAGCCCUGAGAAAACAAGAGAGCAGAAACAAAAUGGACUGAGCAACAACGAAAGGUCAUCCCCCUGCUCUAUCACCCCCGCUCUAGGGGUGGCUCCCCUCUAUCUACCAGAUAAAGUCCAAACCUCUAGUCAUGCCUUCGAGGCAUCCAGGAUCCCUCUGCCCUAACCAAGCCCUGGGCGCAGCUCGGGGGGCCUCGUCCCUCUCUCCCCAACACAGUCCAGGCUUCCAGAUGCCUCCCCACUGCCCUCCCACAGCUUAUCUAAUGCCCAUGCAUCUCUGGAAGCCCUGCUCCAGGGCCACCUCUUCCAGGCAGCCCACCCUGACUUCACCUUCCUCUAAUCACCAUUUGAAAACCAUUACUGAAUCUGCUCCAAGCCAGGCUCUGCUCCUCACCCCAAGAUAGGGCAAUGAGGAAGCCAGUUGUUGCCCUCAUUGGUACUCACGAUCCAGUUUGGAAAAAACAGCAUUACCUGGUAUCAGAGGCUGUACUUCUUCUAUUAAAAUGACUACUACCAUAACCCUGUACGGAGUGCUUACCACUUGUCUGGAACUGUGUCACAGAAGCUCCCUGAGGGCUGUCCCCAGGUUUUCGCUUUCUCGGUGUCCCUCAGGUUGAGAGCACUCAAACGUGGCCCCUCGGGGCCAGACAUGCCCUUCUGCAGGCUUGAAUGAAGAUGUGCCAGCUGUUUGGGGGGAAUGGCAUCAUCGGAGAAAGCUGAGCCAGAGCCGAGUGGGGAAGCGGACAAGGCUCCAGGACGGGGCAGAGAGGGGAGCUGGCCCCAGUGUCCCCUCCCAGCCUCUCUCUUUCCCACCUGUCCCUGUGGCUCAGCCCUGGCAUUUUGCAAUCUUGAGGGCCCUGCCCUGUCCAUUUGCUGAGAGGGUGAGGUGAUGCCAAAGGGGAGCCAUGCCUCGUGCCCUGGAGUAGGGGACAAGGAGGCUGGGCUGAAGAGAAGGGAGGAAUUUCAGCCCUGCCCACCCCGUGGGGGUCGGGGCUCUGAGGGGCUGAGUUGAGCCCAGAAAGUGAGAAACUGCACAGACACCCUAGGAUCUGAGGGACCUGGGUGCCAGGCAGAAGCUGGGCUGCCCUCUCGGUAGUGGCAGUCUCGCCAGCCUCAGGCUCUCUCAGGCCGGGAACCUGAGGACAUGGGGCAGCUCAGGGCCGACUCCCAGAACAGAAGCAGCAGGAGGCCAUGGUCUGGCCUGGGGAAGGGGCCUUCCUGGCCAGCCUCUGGGGCACAGGAGAAAGGGCCCAGGUCCCAGCGCUGGCCUCACCUGCCCGCUUGUGCCCUUCUAGGAAGCACAGGGCAUUUACAGAGCCCUCGGGGCAGGGAAACUGAGCACAGAGCUGCCUUCCAGCCCCAGAAACUCAUCCUGCCCUCCAACCACCACACUUCCCACAAGCACUUGGGGCCUCCAGACCCCACGGUUCCCGGGUACCCUUCUGCCUCGGGGAUGUGCACUUUCCAGAAAGUAGCCUGCCUCACUCCCCAAAGCUGGGCUGGGAAAGGAGUCCUGCCUUUCUCUGA